AAUGAACGUUGGCGGCGUGGAUUAGGCAUGCAAGUCGAACGGGCCACGGGUAGCAAUACUUGUGGUCAGUGGCGUAAGGGAGAGUAAUACGUAGGUAUUUACCCUGGGGUCUGGGAUAGCGGCGGGAAACUGCCGGUAAUACCAGAUGAUAUCUCCGGAUCAAAGGUGUGAUUCCGCCCUAGGAGAAGCCUGCGGUCUAUUAGCUAGUUGGUAGGGUAACGGCCUACCAAGGCAGAGAUGGAUAUGGGGGCGUGAGAGCGUGCCCCCACUCACUGGGACUGAGACACUGCCCAGACACCUACGGGAGGCAG
rnacentral:rRNA from 1 species